rnacentral:tRNA from 1 species
GCUCGCGUGGCGCAAUCGGCUAGCGCGUCAGACUUUUAUGAAAUAAUCUUCUGACAUCUGAAUGUUGCGAGUUCGAGUCUCGCCGUGAGCG